rnacentral:lncRNA from 1 species
CUAGUACUUGAUCUUAUUGGCUAUUUAGGAUUUUUUGUUGAGGUGUCUAUGUGUUUUGUUUGCUUUAUUUGAUUUUUAUUUUGUUUAUGUCAUUUUAUUUGCUAGUUGCUUAUUUGUUUACGGCUUUUUCUUUAUGUGUUACUGCUUUAUAAAUUGUCAUCAUUUGCAUAACCUCGAGUCUUUUUCCUACAACAAGUCUUUUGGAGUACGUUUGAGCGUACACAGCCUUUUUAUGGGUCAUCUGUGUCAUUAGGGGGGUGGCGUGGAGUGUGU